ensembl:misc_RNA Metazoa_SRP Metazoan signal recognition particle RNA
GCCGGGCGUGGUGGCGCAUGCCUGUAAUCCCAGCUACUCAGGAGGCUGAGGCAGGAGAAUCGCUUGAACCUGGGAGGUGGAGGUUGCAGUGAGCCAAGAUCAUGCCAUUGCACUCCAGCCUGGGUGACAGGGCGAGACUCUGUCUCAA